GAAAGGAAGGAAGGGAAAGAAAAAAAAAAGACAGCCAUCUUAUUAACAUUUAUUGCAGAUGGCAUUCAUUUGUCAAAUAUUUAUUAAAUGCCUACUAUAUGCCAGAUACUAUUUAGACACUAAAGAUAUAUAGUAAUGAACAAAAGAGACGUAGUUCCUGUCUUUACAGAGUUUUUAGACUGGUUGGGAACACAAGGUGAUACACAAGUCAUUAUAGGAACAAAUACAUAAUUGCAAAUGUAACAAGUGCUGUGAAGUAAAAGCACGCGGAGCGCAUACGCACGCGCCUGUGUGUGUGUGUGUGUGUGUGUGUGUGUGUGUAAUGGAAGGGGGCAGGGUGUGUUGUCUUGUAUGGAUCGAGAAUGGCUUCCUUAGGAAAUACACAGCUCAAGCUGAGGAAGGAGAGCAUGGACAGAAAUCCUGGAACUGGAAGAAGCAAAGUAUGUGUGAGCCAUUAAAAAAAGGUCCUUGUGGCUGGAUCCCAUUAGAACCACAAGAACGAGAGAACUUGGUGUGAAAUGAAGCUGGCUAAAGUGGUUUGGCCCUCAACUAUGCCAAACCUUGUAGGUGCGGGUAAAAAUUCUGGUCUUUAUCCUGUCUGCAAGGGCAGCAACCAAGGGAUUUUAGGAAAAUGCCAUGAGCAGCCUGGCUCUCCCUGGCUGUCUUUAGUGGAAUGUAUUUAGAAGGGCAAGAGUAGAUGAAGGAAGACAAAUUGGAAGUGUUUGCAAGAGAUGGCAGAUUAGAGUAGAGCAGAGAACAGGGAAGGAGAUAGAAAGAAGAGCGUGGAUUGGAAGACUUAAGAUGCAGAAAUAUUAAGGUAGAGAUAACAGUGGUGUUUCUUUGUGUAUGAAAAGAAGCUGGUGCUAUUUUAGCGUCUGACUUGCUACACUGCAUCAGAGGGAAUUACAGUAUCUCAUUUGUUCCAGAAAAGAGAAAGGUGAAAAUCAAUGCCUUUGGUUACAGAGUGUGAAGUCCUGACUCAGAGGAAAGGUCAUGAGAGGAGACAGUGGGAAGGCAGUUGGCCAUCUGCAAACCAAGGAGAGAAGACUUACCAGACACCAACCCUGCUGGCAUCUUGAUCUUGCACUUUAAGCCUUGAACUCCCAGAACCUUGUCGCCACAACCCCACUUGCUGACUAACCAGCCGGAGGUCAGUGCAGGCCUGCCAGAGGAAGGAGUGUUUGAGCCGACCGAGCCUUGCAGCCUGAGGAGGACGACCCCAGGAGAAGGCUGCAGUAGGGGCUGGAGCUAUUUUUCCUGGCAGCAAACCCACAGAGGCUCUGUGGAGUGCGAGAGGGAAGUUGGAAGGAAAUCAACUGUGGAAUAACUAUUCUCAGCUUCUGCCAGGACCCAAAAUGGAGGAAUGUCCUCUGGGUAGGGGCUGUGGGAGUCCACUCUCCUCUUCGGGGGCCUCCGGCUCCAGUCUCUCAUCCCCAGCAGCUCUCCGUGGCCUUCAAACAGAUGAUCUCCACAGUUAAGGUGUGGAUUUAUGCUGGCAAAUUCCAUACUAGUUAUCAUUUACCUUUUGGGGAAUUGAAAGAUCAGCUUUCCUACAAUAAUCAUCGUAAGACCAACUUAUCAAAGAGAUACCAAGACUUUCCUAGUGGAGUGCCAACAUGAAGAGAGGAAAGAGACUGAACCCUUAGGAGAAAAGUUCAAGAGGUUAAAGCUUUGGGGGGCAAGGACAGCUCAGCCUGAGAGCUUUGAGGACCGUGCCUUGAAGGAUAUGGUGUGUGUGUGUGUGUGUGUGUGUGUGUGUGUGUGUAUGUUGGGGAGUAUUCAGUCAACCAAAAGGAAUCCUAAAUAACUUUGCUUUUGCUGUGUGUGUGGAAUGGAACAGCCUUUUUUUCUGUCUUUCUUCUUUUUUAGAAAAAUAGAUUGUAAAGAUGGCAAAGAAAAUUACAAGCUUCCUGAGGAAGAAGGAUGGGAAAUUAGUGUCAAAAUGACUUUGUAAUUAUGUCUGUGUAUUUUAGAUAUUUUGGCUUAAAUAGAAGGUAGCAAAAAGAUAUAUAGUUUAUGUUAUGCGGUAGUUUUAGUUUUUUAUCAACACAAAUAUGUAUACUAUAUUACAGUAUUAUAAAAGGUGCGUUCAGAUAUUAUUAUUUAUUGGACUUAAGAAACAUGACAUAAAGGAAUAUCUUCAGAGAUGAUUAGGUGAGAUAUCUCAAUCAGUCGCUCUUUGCAGUUGCUCUCCUAGUGUGUGAUUACAUAGGCUAGGAAAAGAUAAUUUCCUGCAAAAUUCUCCUCAUCUAGGACUGUUCCUUACACUUCUCAUUUUGCAGACAUCUUAGAGGAAAACAUAGCGGAAAGAAAGGCCAUUGCUUACCGAGUGUAGGAGCACGCGCAGAGCUCUCUAGCCUACACGGUUUGUACGUUACACCCUC